UAUAUAUACAACAUUUCAAAACAUAUAUUUAAAAAUUCAACCUCAAAACACUCAUUAAGAUAAUUCUUGGAACGAAAAUGAAAGGUUCGAAAAAAAUAUUCUAGGAAUUUUGCAAACCACAACCCAGGAACUGCAGUACCUCAGAACCACAGAAUAUUCCAGUUGGCCAGGGACCUCAGAGGCCCCGGUAAGUCUGACUUCCUUCCUGAGUCCAGCCUUUGUGUCCUCAGCUGGAAUACCUCUGCAACUGGAGCCUCACGACCUCUCCAGAGGGCCUGUUUCCUGCUCCCAUUCAAGAGAAUUUGAAGAACCUUCCAGAUCCCCAACUUACGGAUGGCACCAUCGUCCCUGCGCCAAAGACCAGGAUGCUGACCUCCCAGACCCCUCCCUGCCACCCCAAAAGCCCCACAGCCCAGCUUUCAUCUCCUACCUGGUCCCCCGCCUCCAGUCCUGCCCCCUUGUAUCCUCCUCAAGGUAGCAAAGCAGCCUUUCCAGAACCCAGAUCUCAUCUGUUUCUCUCCUGCUCUAAACCAGGGUCUCUCCACUUCAACACUGUUGACAUUUGAGGCCAGAUCAUUCCCUGGGGUGGGGCCAUCCUGGGCAUGGUGGGGUGUGGAGCAGCCUCCCUGGCCCCACUCACUCCAUGCCAGGAUCCCUACCAGUCGUGACAACCAAAUGUCCUCGGACUCCACUCAGUAUGCCCUUGGGGGGUACAACCACCCCCAUGAGAACUGCUCUAAAGGCUUCUAGGCCCCCCAGUGCCCUUGAAAUGAAGCCCCCUCCCUUUCACUUCCACCCCUGGCAUCUGCACAUGCUGUUCCCUCUGCCUGGAAGCCCUUUCUCCUGCUCCCAGUAAUCUGCACAGUUAUUCCCAGAAACCUCUCAGACAUCUCCUCCAGGAAGACCUCCCAGAUCAGCCCAGACUGACUUCCUCCAGACUCCUGGAGCAACCCCCACGAGUGCCCGCUUACCCUGUCUUCUAAACGCCUGAUUGUCUGUUCAUCUUCCCCACUGGACUCUGAGACCCCCGAGAGGGCAGGGCUCAGUCUGUCUUGAUCACCAGUGUGUCCCCACCACCCAGCACAAGGCCUGGCAUAUAGGAGAAGCUCAAUGAAUAAUAAAAGUAGCAAACACCAA